rnacentral:lncRNA from 1 species
UUGGCUCAGACUCUCAAGGAAGACCUUUUUCUAAUCUGCCUAUUGAAAGCCAAACAUGAUGUCUCCGUCACAGAAACCGCCCUCUGCCCAGAACCUUGACUGUCCUGUUUUAAAGCUUGAUGUUUCUAUCACCGAGACCAUCUCUUCUCACCCUGACUCACCAGAGCAUCAGUGUGGAAUUACAAGGCAGCCACCAAUCAAUCACACCGUGUCAAAAGCUGAAUGCAUUUUCUUCUAAGACAAACAGUCUCAGGGAUUCCUGGCUUAAGUCCCCCCAGCAGUUAUCCCUCAUAAGCUUCUGGAGAUGAGGUGGAUAAUCGGCACGUACAGACCACCAAAAACAACUUAAGGCCACCGACAUUUAGAAGAAAUGGAUCAUGCAUGAGACUGCCGUUUUGAUGGCCAUGAUGCAACGGUAUGCCAGAUUAAAACAUUCUACACCGUGCAUGUGGGCAUGGACUUUCUUUAUAGAAUUUCUAAAGUUGUGUGUUGAUGACAGCAAGGUUUCUGUAAGACUGGAUUCUAAAAGUGGGAAACCUUUAUUUUCCAUUUCUGCUAGAAAAAAAGCUGCAAAAGAUGACUGAGAAUUGAUUUAGGGUAAAAUUCCCAUUUGAUUAUGAUUGAUUUCUAAAGCUGUGCUUCUUAAUGUUUCUGUAAAAUCAGAUUCUAAAAUGGUGGAAAACAAAAAUGUUACUUUGCUCCUUGGUCUAGGAAAAAGCUGUAUAAGCUGUUUUAACUGUAGGAGAGUAUAUAUGGCUUUCUGAGUAUCUGUUCUGUUACACAUUCUGUAAACACAAACCCUAAUAAAGUUGUUGAACCAUUCAAUUCUUGUAUUUGUGGCCAGCACUUGAACUGAAAAAAGACACGAACACCCC